UAAGGAAUAUUGGUCAAUGGGCGAAAGCCUGAACCAGCCAUCCAGCGUGCAGGAAGAAGGCCCUAUGGGUUGUAAACUGCUUUUGUCAGGGAAUAAACCUCUGGAUUUACUCCGGAGCUGAAGGUACCUGAAGAAUAAGCACCGGCUAACUCCGUGCCAGCAGCCGCGGUAAUACGGAGGGUGCGAGCGUUAUCCGGAAUUACUGGGUUUAAAGGGUGCGUAGGCGGCUUGGUAAGUCAGGAGUGAAAGUUUGCGGCUCAACCGUAAAAUUGCUUUUGAUACUGCCGGGCUGGAAUCAGGAUGAGGUCAGCGGAAUGUGGCAUGUAGCGGUGAAAUGCAUAGAUAUGCCAUAGAACACCCAUUGCGAAGGCAGCUGGCUAGACCUGUAUUGACGCUGAGGCACGAAAGCGUGGGGAGCGAACAGG
rnacentral:rRNA from 1 species